AUGUUGAAGGAGUUCUAUGUCCCCCAGAGAGGGCUUUCCAUAAGAAGAAGGGUCUUGGCUUCUUUCUGUCUGAGAGAAACCAGUUCACCAGAUGGUGAGACAUGGAGAGUGGCAGAGCGACCUUUCUGUGUUCUCUUUGUUGGGAAUCCACCUGCCUGCAGAGGGCACGUGUCAGUUGUAUACAGAUGAGCAGAAAACAGGAAGAAUUAAACACCCACUCUAAGCACUGAGCACACCAAGUUAAGAAAAGCUGUUUUGGAUUUCACACCAGGUAGGAACUGAGAAGCUAAGGAUUAGGCCCAACAAGGAAGAAUAAAGGCAGGAGAAGGGACCUUCAGUCAUAGCUGUUAUCAGCCUUGGGCCGGCUUCACAAGGAAAUUUGAGAGUAACUCAAGCUUUGGUAAACACUCAUAUGAAUUGUCCGGAGAUGCCUGGGGAAAGAGAAUGAAAGUGAGAGGAUAAGGAACCUUGGGGCAGGAACCCAGAUGGAAAUUAUUACAGGAGAGUAAUUAAAAUGCCGUGACAACUCUCUGAAGUUGAAAGAGAACAGUGCACUGGAGUCUAAGGCUUUGUCCUUUUCCGGCUGUAACCAUUGCCUUCCUGUCUCCUUCAUAGACCUCAAUCAUGGAGAUCCGUAAAAGACAGUCAUCACUGAUACCUUGCUAUUUUUUUGAUUUUUAAAAAAAUGUUAUUGUACAGGCGUCUUUACUUUGCAUUAACACAUGAUGCAUCUCAGGUGAACAUGUUGAGAUAGUCUCCAGGGAAGUUGGUAAGGAGGGAUGAUGGGGAAGACACACAAAAUGUCUGCCCCUUCUGAGAUAGGAUUGCCAAGGAGCUGGCUAAUGAGGGUGCACAACAGUGUGCCUUCACCAGCACUCCCAAGGGUAUAAAUAAAGGAGUUAAAUGAGUACCUGCUAUACCCAUACAGACAGUCCGGAGUGUACAGAGGGAGCAUGACAGGGUACGGCCUGCCACAAGUCUUAUACCAGCCUCCACCCUAGACAGAAAAAUCUAACUUCCUUCUGGAGACUUCCAACUGCCCAUCCUACUGAUAAAGCAACAGCAACAAAGAGACAAUUGUGGUUGCUCACAGAUUUGCAGGUGGGAAAUGCAGAAAAACUCUGGUCCAGAGUAAAAACAGCUUAUCUUACAUGUCCUGAUUCUUCUCCAUCAUCUCUACCAC
rnacentral:lncRNA from 1 species